GCCAACAGUGUUUCCACUUGGGAGCCUGAUCUUGUCAGAUUUCAGAAGCUAGGCGAGGCUGGGCCUGGUCAGGAUGGGGAUGGGAGACCUCUGACAAAAAGCAGGUUGCUGCUGUAA
rnacentral:rRNA from 1 species